GUCAUCUGUUGGAUCGGCCCGCCAUCGGCCAGAGCGUCAGACUUUUACGGCAAGGGCAUCUGAAGGCUGAGAGUUCGACCCUCGCAGUGGGCUAUGACA